AUGUUUUUGAUUCUGAAAAACUUUGCUUCCUGGCAUCCAGGAGUUAGAGAUUGAGCCUUUCAUCUUCUUUCUCAAAACUAGUUUUUGAUGCUAUCUUUCAUGGGAAUAGUCACUUUUUAAUUUUAUUUAAUAAACUGCAUUGCCGGAAAAAAAAAAUGUUCUGUUCUCAUACUGCUAAUAAAGUCAUAUCAAGACUGGGUAAUUUAUAAAAGACAUAGGUUUAGUGGACUCACAGUUCCACAUGGAUGAGGACGCCUCACAAUCAUGGUAAAAGAUGAAGGAAGAGGAAAAAGGCAUCUUACAUGGUGGCAGGCACAAAGGCCUGUGCAGGGAAACUCCCCUUUAUAAAACCAUUAGAUCCCAUGAGACUUAUCCACUACCCCAAGAACAGUAUAGGACAACCGGUUCUAUAGUUCAAUUAUAUUUACCUGGUCUCACUGCUGACACAUGGGGAGUAUUACAAUUCAAGGUGGGAUUUUGGUGGGGACACAGCCAAACCAUGUCACUCUUAUCUCCUGUCUGGACCCUGCCCAUACGGGAGAUUUUGACACAUCACUGAACCCAGCAUCUUGGUGAUGUGAAUCUCCUGGGCCCUCCCCUCAAUGAAAAUGGUGACAUGUCACUGGGCUCAGUACUUAGGUGAUGUGACUUCCCUCUCCUGCCUGGACUCUGUCCUAGAAGAGAGUGGUAAGAUAUCACUGAGACCAGCACUUAUGGUCUGUGGUAAUGUGAUUCUCAGCUUCUCUCAGGGCCCUGUUUACAAGGGGCAAGGUGACAUAGUGUGGGGACUAUCUCUCAGGUGAUGUGACUCUUCUGCAUUGGCCUGGCCUAAAGGGGGAAUUGUGACAUAUCUCUGGGCCUACCACCUAGGUGAUGUGACCUUCCUCACCUGCUUGUGCUCUGCCCACAGGAAGAUUUCCAUGUAUCUCUGGGCUCAAUACCUAGGUAAUGGGACUCUUCUGCCUAAGCACUGCUUACAUUAGGCCCAAGACACAAUGAUGUAAGUUUUCACUUCUGCUUGGGCCCUACACAAAGUGGGCAUUGUGACAUAUCAUGGGGCUCAUCACCUAGAUGAUGUAAUUCUUUUGCUUGGGCCUUGCCCACAGUAUAGUGACAUAUUACUAGGCAUAUCACCUAGGUGAUGUGAUAUUUCUGCUCUGGCCUGUACCAUAGAGGGCAUUGUGACAUAUUGCUGAACUUAGUGCUCAGGAGAUGUGACUGAUGGGCCAGGACUGAAUCUACAGGUGGACUGUGACAUAUUUCUUGUCCAGCACCUAGGUGACAUGACUCUUCUUCUUUUUUUUGCACGGGCCCUGACAUCAGUGAGGAUUUUGGCAUAUUGCUGGGCCCUACACCCAAAUGAUGUGACUCUGCUGCCUCAGUUCUGCCAAAAGAAAGCAUUGUGACCUAUCCAAUAGGCUAGAACCUACAUGAUGUGACUUUCCUCUCCUUCCUGAGCCCCGUAAAUGGAGUUAAUUGUGAAAUACUGCUUUGCACAGGACUAAGGUGAUGUGGUUCUCUAGGCUGGGCCCUGCCCAUAAGAGGCAUUGUGACGUAUUGCUGAGCUCAGCAUUCAAGUAAUGUGACUUUCUUGCCAAAGCACUGAACACAGAAGUUGCCUGAAAUAACAUUCAAUCAGCGUGACUCUCCUGUUUGGUCUCUUUACACCGGCCUAGCUCACAGGCAUGAUGAUGACUCUCAUAUGUGGACCCAACUGAUAGAAAAAAUUUUGACUCUCAUGGCUGAAAUUACGGGAAUAGGCCAGGUCUUCUGUUUUCUGCUUGUGGUAAUUCACAGAAGGGGAUGACACUGAAGCACCAACACACAGCUGAGUCCAGGGAUGAGAGCCAUCACCAUCCCUGUGAGCUGAAUCCAUGAGUCACCAUCUCACUUCUGGUGGCAUGCAGGCAGGUGAGGAGGGUCAAAUCAUCUAGAUAAUGAGCCCACAAUAUGUCAACAUGCUCCCUGAUGGAAGGGCAAAUGAAAGACAGUCACAUAGCCAAGGUGAGUAAACCAGAGAUGUCACAAUGCACACUAUACGUAGGGAUCAUGGGAAAGAGGAGCAUCAUAUAACCCAGGGGCUACACCCAGAUACGUGUCACAGUCACCCCACUGGGCAGGGCCUAGGCAUGAGAGGAUAGUCACAUCCCAGAAAUGCUAAGCCAAGUGAUAUGUCACAAUUCCCACUGUGGAUGGGUCCAAGAAAAAAGUCACAUCAUCUACAUGCUGGGGCCACAGUACAUAUCAGUGUUUCCUGUAAGUAUUGCCCAGGCAGAAGAGGCAAGUCAAGUCAGUUGGGUGCAAAACUGAGUGAAAUGUCACAAUGUCUUCUAUAGGCAAAGCCCAGGUGGAAAAGGAGGGUCACAUCAAAUAGUUGAUAGGCCCAGAGAUAUGUCACAAUGCCCCUGUAAGCAGAAACCAGGCAUGAGACUCAAACCACUUUUGUGCUGAGCCCAGCAAUAUGUCACAAUGACUUUUGAGAGCAGGACCAAAUCAAGACAGGAAUGUCACUUUAUUUGGCCUAGCGAUAUGUCACUAUGGUUUAUGUGAGCAGAACAUAGGAAAAAGAGACAAGUCAUAUCAGCUGGGUGCCGAGCCCAGAGAUAUGUGUCGAUCCCCCCAUCAACAGAAAUCAUGCAGGAGAAGAGAGUCAAAACACACGGGUAUGCCCGGGCAUGGUGACCCAUGCCUGUAGUCCCAGCACUUUGGACGGCUGAGGUGGGAGACUCAGAACCUCAACAGUGGGCUGUGUCUGUGUAAAAGGAGACAGUCUUUACUAUUGGCGGCCUGUCCAAAGGAGUGUCACAUUGUCACCUGUGUGCUGGCUCUGUGAGGACAGCCUCUCACCAUUCAAGGGCUGUGCAUACUAUGUAUGAGAGUCAACAUCUGCUCUGGGACCUUCAUGGCGGCAGAAGAAGUGAGUCACAACAUAUGAGUGAUGAACAAAAAGAUGUCACAAUAUCCCUGUUGGCAGGGCCCGGUUAGAAGAGUCGCAUCAGGUAGGUUUUGAUCCCAGCCAUGUAUCACAACACAGAAUAUACGCAGAGCCCAGGAAGAAGAAAAGUCCCCAGCACCUAGAAUCUCGGCUCUGUGAUACAUCACAAUUCCUUCUCGGGCAGAGCCCAAGCAGUAGAACACAGUCACGUCAUCAUUUAGGUGCAUAUAGGUCACAAUAUCCCCUAAGGAAAGGGCCGAGGCAGAAAAAUCUCCUCACCUGGGCAGUGACACACAGGUGUAUCCCAGUGCUUUUUGUGUUAGGGCUCAGGAAGAAGAAGAAAGUCACAAAGCCUGUAGGGUAGACCAAGUCAUACUUCACAGUCACCCUAGUGAGCAUGGUUGAGGCAUGAGUGGAGAGUCACAAGAUUUAGGUGCUGAGCUGAGUGAUGUAUCACAAUGUCCUCUGUGAGCAGGAAUUAGGCAAGAGAAAGGAGUCAAAUCACUUGGGUGAUGGUGCAGACAGAUGUCACAAAAUUCCAGGCAAGAGUAAUAUCAUCUUGGUGUUGGAUUCAGAAAUAUGUCACAAUGCCCCACAAAACAUUGUGGGAAUGACACAAGCAGGAAAGUCACAAAACCUGGGUGUGAGGACUGGCAAUAAAUCAUAAUUUCCCCUGUGGACACACUCAAAAAGGAAAAGGAGACUCCCUUCAUCUAGGUAAUGGGCCCAGAGAUAUAUUCCAAUUACCUCUAUUGGCAGGGACCAGGCAGAAGUGUCCCAUCACCUUUGCGCUAGGCAAUGUGCUGGGUCGCAUCGCCUAGGUGACAAACAGCAACACAUCACUCUUUCUUUCUAAACGUAGUCCAGGCAUAAAAGGAGCAUUGCAUUUCCUCGGUGCUAGGCCCAGAUGUGUUUCACUGUAUCUGUUAUAGGCAAAGAUGUGGUAAGGGGAGAAAGUCCAAUCAAAUAGCUGAUGAGCCCAAAGAUAUGUCACAAUGCACUAUGUGGGCAGGGUCCAAACACAAGACACACUUCACCUUGGCGCUGGUAACAGCAGUAUUCACAAUGCCUUCUGAGGACGGUGCCAAGGCAAAGAGUAACAUCACCAUGGUUUUGGGCCCAGCUUUAUGUCACAAUCUCCCCUGCGAGCAAAACCUCAGAAGACAAGAGAAGUCACAUCAGCUCAGUAAUGAACAAAGUGAUGUUUUAUUCUCCCCUAAGAGCUAAGACCAGGCAAAUAAAGAUAGUGACAGCACUUGGGUGACAGUUCUGGGAUAUGAAACAAGGAUAUGAAACAAUUUUCUAUACAGGGAGGCCUUAGGCAAGAGAGUUCAAUGACAUGGGCAUAGGCCCACUGGUAUAUUACAAUGCCUCCUGUGGGUGGCAUCAAGGCACCAGAGGAGACACACCACCUGAGUGCAAGGCCCAGUGAUGUCAAAAUGCCCCCUCUGCUCAGCGCAGUUAUAUGUUUCAAUCUCAUAUGUGAGCUGGGUCCAGGCAGUAGAGUCAAAUCACUCAGGUGCUGGACUGGGGCAUAUGUAACAAUAACACCUACAGAAGGUCCAGGGUUGAGAUUAACAAUCUCACACAUGUCCCUGUUCUAGGCAUGGGUCCACUUCUGUAGGGUAGCUCUAAGUACACAAGUCACAAUCUCAGUGGUCAACAGGAUCUCCGUGUGAGAGCCGCAUUCCUUUUGUGAAUUGUGUUUUGUAAGUAGAGUCACAGCCUCGUGGGUUUGCUGAAUCUUAAUUUGAGUGUCAUGAAUGCAUUUGUGGAACAGAUUCAUGUAUGAGAGUCAACUUUUAGCCACCUCAGGGUGUGAGAGUCAGAACCUCAACAGUGAGCCGUGUUCAUGUGAAACAAUGACAAUCUUUCCUCUCGCCUGGGUGUGCAUAUACGUUACAAUCUCACUUGUGUGCUGGUCCUGCUAGAACACUCUCUGUACCACUCGAGGGCUUUAUACAAUAUACGUGAGUCAAAAUUUACUCUGAAAUUUUCACACUAGAGGGACCUUUGAUUGUACCUUGGCCCUAAGCCCAGGGGUGAGAGUCAACAUCUUUCUUAUUGACUGUGUCCAGAUAGGAGAGUUUUCACCUGCCUACAAGCUGUGUUUAACCAUGAGUAACCAUUCCAUUUGUGGCUUGAUGUUGCGGUGUCAAUGUCACAAUUUAAGCUGUAGACUGCGUUUGCAUGUGAGAUUCAAAACAUCACCUGUAGGCUCUAUCAAUGUGAGAGGGUAGGUGAGAGUAGUAACUUUCUAUAACCUUCUCACAAAGAGGAGACACAGGGCCUUACUUAUUUUUCUAAGCCUAAAUAGGAGAGUCAGUAUCUCUUCUGUUGGCUGGUUCAACACACAAGGUAUGCUAGUCAUUAUUACACCUGUGAGCUGAACCAAGGUAUAUGUCACAAUGCCACCUCUCAGUAGGAACAAGCAGGAGAGACGCAGCACCCAGGCACUAGGCCAUGGAUAUGUCACAGUCUGUUAUGAAAGCAGAGACCAGGCUGGAGAGUCACAUCAUUAGCGUGCUUAGCCAAGAACAUUUUAACAUCUCCUCCUGAAAGCAGUGCAACAGGAACAAAAUCAGCUCACCUGGGUGCUGGGCCCAGCAAUAUGUCACAAUGCCCUCUGUGGGAAAAUCCCAGGCAGGAGAGACACAUCAACAGGUUGCUGGGUGCAGAAAUAAGUCACAAUUUUUUUGGUUGGCAAAGUUCAGGCAGAAAAUGUGUCACAACCCUGAGGUGAUGGAUGCAGACAUAUGUCACAGGCUCACUGCAGGCAGGGCUCAGGCAGGAGCCUCACAUCCUCUAGGUUCUGGGCCUGUGAUGAUCAUAAGUGAAUAUGGCCACAGUUUCCAUGGUGACUCAUUGAUGGACUCAGAUCACAGGAACAGUGAUAACUCUCAUACCUGGAUCCAGCCAAGAAGAGAGAUGUUCAAUCUCGUUCCUGAUUCUAGGGAAUGAAUAAGAUUGUGGAUCCACAGGCAGGAAGGUCUCAGAGCAGAUACUGACUCUCAGGUGUAUAUUUUAAAGCCAUUUAGCUGCACAGUGUGUCAUAAUAGGGCCCAGGACACCAAUGAGACUGUGACUCUUGUAUCCACAGCCAGCUGAAAGUAAGAAUUGUCACCCUCCCACUUGAAUAUAGCACAGUGUUGGCAAAUCUCAGAGCUGGAGGCAGUCAACAUUUGGAAUUGUGUCUCAGACAAGAAUCCAGUCCACAAGUGAGUUAGUGACUCUCCGACCUGGAUCUGACACACCUGUGAGGCUGUGAGUUCCCCACUGGGACAUGGUCUGCUGGUGAGAUUGAGGUCUCAUGCACAUACCCAGUCCACCACUGAGUUUGUGACUCCUGUUCUAGGACCCAACACACAGAUGUUGAAUCUCAUACCUAGAGCUGGGACAUAUACAGGAUUGUCAAUCUCAUCCCUGUACCUUCCCACAAAUGUGAUCAUGACAUAUGUCUUUGCCCAGCUCCUUAGAAAUUUGACUUUCCUGCCCAGGCCCAGCCCCAAACUGAAAUUGUGACAUAUACCGGGGCAAGCACUUAAAGGCUGUGACUUUAUUCUUUUGCUUGGGAGCUGCAAACAGAAAAGAUUGAGACAUAUUGCUAAGCCCAGCAUUUAGGUUAUGUGAUUCUUCCUCCAGCGACAUUGUGAUAUAUUCUUCCCUGGAUUAUGGAACAUUGGGAAAUAUUCCUCCCUGGAAUAUGAGAUAUUGUGACAUCCUUCCCUGUUCCUACAGGAGCAUUGUGACAUUUCUCUGGGAACAUUAACUAGAUUAAGGGACUCCCCUCUCAUACCUGGGUCAUUCCCUCAGGGGGAUUAUGACAUAUCACUGGACUCAGAACCUAGGUGAUCGGAUUCUCCUCUGCUGCUCGGACCCCAUCCACAGUGGGGUAAUAUGAAUGGUAAUAUAUUGCCGAGCCCAGCAACUAGAUGAGGUCACUUUCCUCUCCUGCCUGGAAUUUGCUCAGUAGGGAAGAGUUACAUACCGCUUGGCCCAGCACCUAGGCUCUGCCUAUGGAGAACAGUGUGACAUGUCUCCGCAUCCAUGUGAUGUGACUCUCCUGUCUGGUUCUGGCUGACAGAAGAGAAUGUAACAUAUCACAGGACCCAGCACCUAGGCCCUGACAUCAGUGAGGAUUUUGGCAUAUUGCUGGGCCCUACACCCAAAUGAUGUGACUCUGCUGCCUCAGUUCUGCCAAAUAAAAGCAUUGUGACCUAUCCAAUAGGCUAGAACCUACAUGAUGUGACUUUCCUCUCCUUCCUGAGCCCCGUAAAUGGAGUUAAUUGUGAAAUACUGCUUUGCACAGGACCAAGGUGAUGUGGUUCUCUAGGCUGGGCCCUGCCCAUAAGAGGCAUUGUGACAUAUUGCUGAGCUCAGCAUUCAAGUAAUGUGACUUUCUUGCCAGGGCCCUGAAUAUAGAGGUUUCUUGAAAUAUUCCUAGACCAACAUUCAAUCAGCAUGACUCUCUUGUUUGGUCUCUUUACACCGGCCUAGCUCACAGGCGUGAUGAUGACUCUCAUAUGUGGACCCAACUGAUAGGAAAGAUUUUGACUCUCAUGGCUGGAAUUAGGGGAAUAGGUCAGGUCUUCUGUUUUCUGCUUGUGGUAAUUCACAGAAGGGGAUGACACUGAAGCACCAACACACAGGUGAGAUUGUGCAUCCCAUAGGCAUGCCCAGCCAACAAUUAGAAUUGUCACUCUUACACAUGGGCAGAACCUACUGGUGAGGUCCUGAGUCACACAUGUGGACAUCAUCCACAGUUAGAGUUGUGACUGUCGUAUGUAAAUUCGGCAACGUGUGAGAUGAUGACUCAUUUCUAGACCAAGCUCACAGGUGUAAUGAUGACCCUCAUAUUUGAAUUUAGCCAAUAGAAGAGGUGUUGAUUUUGUAGCUGGGCUUAGGGCAUUGAGCAAGGCCCCAAGUCUUCUGUCUGCAGAAAGUUCUGAGAGAUUACCCCACUCAUGCAUAUAAUAUAAAGCCCUUAAAGUUCACAGAGUUUUAUAACAGGACCCAGUACAAAGGUGAGACUGUGACUCCUCUGUGCACAUCCAGCUGACAGGAUCAUCACCCUCACACAUGAACAGAGCCCACUGCUGAGGGUAUGGGUCUCACUUAUGGAUACAGCUCACAGUUUGAAUUGUGACUGUAUAUGUGAAUUUUACCACAGGUGGGAUGUCUUAUUUCUGAACGCAGCUCAUAGGUGCAGUGAUGACUCUCAUACCUGGACCCAGCAAAGAGGAGAAAUGAUGAAUCUUGUAAUAGGAAGUUAUGCAUGUGUAUGUGUGUGUUUCAGUUCCUUGGGCUUUGAAAAAUUGAUUCUACAUUAUCUUAUACAGAUGCAAAUGUAUUAGGUGGUUUUUUUGCAAGGCUGUAUGUAUAUUCCUUCUGUUGAUUGAAAUAUUGUCAUUGGUGUUAUGUAGAUAUAUUUGUAGAUCUCAGAACAGAAACAAUAUUGUAAAUAUUAUAGCUUAAUAAAUGUUGAUGGUAUGUAAAUAUAUCAAUAAUACAUAUUUAGAAGGUAGUUGUUAACAAUUGCUUAGAGCUCACGUGGUCAGCCAAGGCCUAUCUUCUUGAAAACCAUGCUGAAAUGGCACUUCUUCAUUACAGUAUCUCUUGGGGUAAAAUAAUCCUUACUAAGAAUGGUCAAAAUAAGAUUUAAAAAUUUGUUGGAGAUAAAUCUUAUGUGUAAAGAAACAGAGCUGUGGAAAAAAAAUGUUCAGGGAAAUAUAAAUAAAUCAAUUUUACCACAGUUAUUUAAAAAAAAAAAAGCUUCAAAGUCAAAUCAAAUUUAUUUAUUCAACUAAAAAUUGUAAGUACAAUGGUGAAUGAAAUUAAAGGCCUCUGACCACAAAGUUUACACUGUAGGGUUUGAAAAACAGACAAUUAGAUAAUAAGUAAUCCUCAUAUAGUGCUGGUAGUAUAAGUUGGUACUACAUUCUGAAAGAGGGCUUGCCAAUGUCUACACAAGCUGAAGAAAGAAAUUUAUUCUAAUUAUAUUUGUGGUUAAAUAUCUACAUAAUUGCACAAAUUUAUCUUUAAAAAUCCACAAGAUGGUCUAUAGAAGUGCUGAAAAGCCUGGAAAAUUACCAGCUGUUCAUUAACAGUUGAAUAAGUGAAUUUAGUUUAUAUGAUGUCACAUUGUAGAUCAAUGAAUAUGCAAACUAUAUGCAGCAACGGAGAUUAAUCUCACAAACAAUGAUGAGCCAAAAAAACCUGGACAAAAAUGAGAACUUACUGUCUUAAUCUAAAGUUCAAAAACAGGCAAAUAUUAUUUAUCGUAUAAAAAGCCAGGAUAUACGUUUCUCUUGAGUGAACAGUGACGGGAAAGGAGAAAAAAGGAGGGAGAGUGCCAGGAUGCUCACACUCUUCCAUCACUGGGUGCUGGGUUCAUGGUAUAUGCAUUUUGUACAGAUUUAUCAAGCUGUUCUUUUAUAACAUAUGUGCUUUUUAGGUGUGUAAAAUUAAAAACAUUUCUUUGAAUGUUUCUAUUUACCGUUUUUAUUUUUUCCUCAAUCAGUUUUUUGUCACUUAUUUUUCUGGAAAAACAGGUAGUUUUAUCUAAAUUUUAUAAUUUAAUAAAAUUGUUUUUUUGUUGUUUGUUUGUUUUUUUGAGAGGAAGUCUCACUCUUGUUACCCAGGCUGGAGUGCAAUGGCGCGAUCUCGGCUCACCGCAACCUCCGCCUCCUGGGUUCAGGCAAUUCUCCUGCCUCAGCCUCCUGAGUAGCUGGGAUUACAGGCACGCACCACCUUGCCCAGCUAAUUUUUUGUAUUUUUAGUAGGGAUGGGGUUUCACCUUGUUGACCAGGAUGGUCUCGAUCUCUUGACCUCGUGAUCCGCCCGCCUCAGCCUUUCAAAGUGCUGGAAUUACAGGCUUGAGCCACCGCGUCCGGCCCCAGAAAAUUGUGUAAAAUAUUAUCUAAUGUUUAAGUCUCGAAUGUAUCUACGUUCUGUCUUUUUUAAUGUUUUUAUUGUUCUUAAUGUAAAUUUAUCUAAUUUAUUAUAACAUUCAAAUAACAACACGAAUUUCACUGCCAUGUUUUUAUUAUUUUUUAUUGCAUUUUAGGUUUUGGGGUACAUGUGAAGAACAUGCAAGAUUGUUGCAUAGGUACACACAUGGCAGUGUGAUUUGCUGCCUUCCUCCCCAUCACCUAUAUCUGGCAUUUCUCCCCAUGCUCUCUCUCUCCAACUCCCCACCCCCCGCUGUCCCUCCCCUAUUU